UACGUAGGGGGCAAGCGUUAUCCGGAUUUACUGGGUGUAAAGGGAGCGCAGACGGCAGUGCAAGUCUGGAGUGAGAGCCCGGGGCCCAACCCCGGGACUGCUCUGGAAACUGUACGGCUGGAGUACGGGAGGGGCAGGCGGAAUUCCUAGUGUAGCGGUGAAAUGCGUAGAUAUUAGGAGGAACACCGGCGGCGAAGGCGGCCUGCUGGACCGAAACUGACGUUGAGGCUCGAAAGCGUGGGGAGCAAACAGG
rnacentral:rRNA from 1 species